UACGUAGGGUGCGAGGGUUAAUCGGAAUUACUGGGCGUAAAGCGUGCGCAGGCGGCUUUGCAAGACAGAUGUGAAAUCCCCGGGCUCAACCUGGGAACUGCAUUUGUGACUGCAAGGCUAGAGUACGGCAGAGGGGGAUGGAAUUCCGCGUGUAGCAGUGAAAUGCGUAGAUAUGCGGAGGAACACCAAUGGCGAAGGCAAUCCCCUGGGCGUGUACUGACGAUCAUGCACGAAAGCGUGGGGAGCAAACAGG
rnacentral:rRNA from 1 species